rnacentral:misc_RNA from 1 species
AUCAGAACUGCAAUCUUUGGUAGGGCUAAUAGCGAUACUGGUUGCUUUGUACCAACCAAACUUAAAAAGAUAAACAAGAAGAUUUGCUGAUUUCUUCAGUUGCUUUUGUAAUCCAGUUGAAAUGAUAGAUAUGGCUUUUGCAUACAGUGUAUGAUCUACUUGAACUUUGAAAUAUAUUUUUUAAAAGGUGCAUCUUUUGUGUACUUCUUGUGUGCUUGGGCUUCCUGAACAGAA